UACAGAGGGUGCAAGCGUCAAUCGGAAUUACUGGGCGUAAAGGGCGCGUAGGUGGACAUGUAAGUGAGAUGUGAAAUAUCCGAGCUUAACUUGGAAAGGUCAUCUCAGACUGUGUGUCUAGAGUAUGGGAGAGGGAAGUGGAAUUUCUGGUGUAGCGGUGAAAUGCGUAGAUAUCAGAAGGAACAUCCGUGGCGAAGGCGACUUCCUGGCCCAAUACUGACACUGAGGCGCGAAAGCGUGGGGAGCGAACAGG
rnacentral:rRNA from 1 species